AUUGAACGCUGGCGGCAGGCUUAACACAUGCAAGUCGAGCGGAGUGAUGGUGCUUGCACUAUCACUUAGCGGCGGACGGGUGAGUAAUGCUUAGGAAUCUGCCUAUUAGUGGGGGACAACAUCUCGAAAGGGAUGCUAAUACCGCAUACGUCCUACGGGAGAAAGCAGGGGAUCACUUGUGACCUUGCGCUAAUAGAUGAGCCUAAGUCGGAUUAGCUAGUUGGUGGGGUAAAGGCCUACCAAGGCGACGAUCUGUAGCGGGUCUGAGAGGAUGAUCCGCCACACUGGGACUGAGACACGGCCCAGACGCCUACGGGAGGCAGCAGUGGGGAAUAUUGGACAAUGGGAGGAACCCUGAUCCAGCCAUGCCGCGUGUGUGAAGAAGGCCUUAUGGUUGUAAAGCACUUUAAGCGAGGAGGAGGCUUACCUAGUUAAUACCUGGGAUAAGUGGACGUUACUCGCAGAAUAAGCACCGGCUAACUCUGUGCCAGCAGCCGCCGUAA
rnacentral:rRNA from 1 species